AAUCAACGCUGGCGGCGUGCCUAACACAUGCAAGUCGAACGCGAAAGCCCCUUCGGGGGUAAGUAGAGUGGCGUCCGGGUGAGUAACACGUGGGUAAUCUACCUUCGGGUGGGGAAUAACUCAGGGAAACUUGAGCUAAUACCGCAUAAAGCAGCGGCACCUAAUGGUGAUUAGUUGUUAAAGCGGGGGAUCGCAAGACCUCGCGCCUGAAGAGGAGCCUGCGGCAGAUUAGCUAGNGGUGAGGUAAUGGCUCACCAAGGCAUCGAUCUGUAGCUGGUCUGAGAGGACGGCCAGCCACACUGGCACUGACACACGGGCCAGACUCCUACGGGAGGCAGCAGUGGGGAAUUUUGGGCAAUGGGCGAAAGCCUGACCCAGCAACGCCGCGUGAAGGAGGAAAUCCUUCGGGAUGUAAACUUCAUAAGUAAGGGAAGAAAGCUGCGGAUCGAAUAAGUCCGCAGUCCGACGGUACCUUACGUAAGCCACGGC
rnacentral:rRNA from 1 species